CAAGCACAAAUCUACUAAGUAACUACCUACCAACAAAGGAAAAAAAAACAAAACAGCAUCUUCGGGCAGGGGCAAUAACUGUCACACCGAAUUAUUACAGAAUUUGCAGAUGUUAAAUGAAAAAAAACGUUGAAACAUUGCUAAAUUGUGCAUUAGGGAUGGAAGCUAAACCCCUGUGCCUCAGACUUAAAUGAUGCACAUCGGUCCGGGAGAAAGUGACGAAGCAUGCAGUCGUCUUCUUUCCAACAUAUUCAACCAAUCAAGUCGAGGUAAGGUGUGCGAAAUUCUGUCAUAUUUCCUGAUACCGAACACGAAACGUAAGCAUGUACUCGCUGAAUUCGGUCACGGUCUUUAACUAACAAACAUGGAUCAUACAAAACAUCGCAAUAGAACCGACGAGUCACAGAGAACAGCCUUGUGUUUGGUACCAAGAACAUGACGACUUGAGUAAAGACUCCUCAAUUGUCCGUAGGCCGAAGCAAUAAGGUUGUCGAUGUGCUGGGUAAAUCUUAAUUUACAAUCAAUAAGCAGACCAAGAUUUUUUACCCACUUCACCGAUGGAAUUGAGUCAUUGCCAAUUUUUAAUGCAAUUUUAUUGUGUAUGCCGAUGUUGUCAUCACCGAACACUAUAAAACACGAUUUUGCAGGGUUAAUUAUUAACGAAUGAUCUUCCGAUGCCUUGUGUACAUUUUAUAGAUCAUUGAUACAUGCCAAAGAGGUUUCUAGUUCAGUUCUUGUAAAAAAGUAAUACAACUGGGUAUCGUCCGCAUAUAGAGAUGGUAUUUACAGUGUUUUAGUCCUGUCAACAAAUUAAAUGUAUAAACUGUGUAUAACAAGGGUCCUAAUAUGGAACCUUGCGGAACACCUCUAGACACAGUCAUAAGCUCGGAGUCCACUCUAUUUAGAGUUACUCUUUGGCAUCAAUCACUCAGGUAAUUAUAUACGUAUAAGCUUUAAAGCAUUAUAAUCCAGUCCGACGAAUUUCAAUAUUGUAUUGAGCACUUGAUGGCUUACUAUGUCAAAUUCCUUAGAAUAAUCAAGUAGAACCAGAAUAGUGAUUUUUCCACAAUCAGUUUCGGUAUAUACGAACAAAAAUCGUAUUUUAAACAUAGGGUAUAAAAUUGGUCUACAAAAAAACGUACACCAUACACUACCAAUACCGAAUUUAUCCUUUCAAAACGCUUUAAAACCGUUUAUUAAACGUAAGUGUGUUGGCUGGGAUAUUACGCAUAUCCGUUUAUGUCAUUUUUUGCGAUGCCCUUCACCCUUGCAGUAAAUGGGUCAAUAUAUAUAUAUCAUUUCAAUUUCUUUAUAACAGUGCAACCUUUACUUGUAAAAUUGACAGAAAAAUGCAAGAUGUGUAUCCUGUUUUGGAAUGAUUUCGUGUGCAAAUUUAAAUAACUUCGCUAGGUCGAGUAUGGUACCAAAAUUUUGCAUGUAAAAAAUUGUUGAGUGCUACACGUGUUCAAAAUUGUUUUCUUCCCAGAAAGUGCUGUCGAAGUAAAUCCUACAGUGCUAGGUAGUUCAUCAACACAAAGGUUUCGAAUUAUGUCGUUAACUCAUAGGUAAUCAUGUUGAAACCGUCUAUUGAGCACUAACAGGCACGAAGCACGAUUUUUUUCUACUUUUUCCCUAGGAAACGAAUUCCAGGUUUGUGAAUCUGACAGCCCUUUCCUUUACUCUUUCAGAGUUACAAAUCAAUAACUUGGCAUGUACAUUUACACCUCCUCCUAAAAGGGAUGUAUUGUGUUCUGUCCAGGUCAUCAGGUUUCUGUUCUUAUCUAAAACGGUCAUCGUGUCCGCACUGCAAAUAUCAACAUCACUAUGACCAAUAUAUCAUCUUUUUCGCGGGAAUGCCUAUUCAAACCUCAUUAUUCUCUCACUUUUAUUUUUCAAUCAUUUUUUCUUAGGGAAUGGGGUUCGAUUACCUCCAGAUGAUGAAUUGGGGUAGUUCGGCGGACAAACGGUAAAAAAAACAAGAAAAAUCCAUUGCAGGUGUCUCUUUGCAGACCCUUUUCGAGUUCUCGGUUAGAUAAACGAACCUGUGUUCAGUUUUCUGACAUGAACAACCAUUUAGCAAACUUUCGUUGUCUACCGAGGUUUCUGUUCCCGCAAUGAAUCCAAUUGUGCAUAACUUAGUUCCGUACAGAUUGUUUAAUAGAAAAGGAGAAGCGCAAAGAGUGUAUUUUGGGAGUGAAGUGGGUUCAUUCUUUACCCUAAUGGAGUAUGAAAUUUGGACAAUAACACAAUAAUUAUAGGACAUCUUAUGUUUAUAAUACAAAGUAAAAUCCUUAACAGCAAUAUGCCUCAACAUUGGACUUAAUCAAUUGAAAAGAUAGGAAGUUUUUACCUUUAUAUUUAUGUUUUUCUUUCUUCCUUUUUGUAGUCAUAUAUGCGUUUAGCUUUUGAGGCGAACCUCUGGACUAAAAUAUGGUGUCUUGCAUUGGACUGUUUAAAACUGAACAGAAAGCUACACUCGCAUUACUGAUGUCUAAUGAGUAACACAACUAAUUUCCUUGUAAAUUCGUGCACAAUCCAUCAACUACUGCGUAGUAGCUGGAAAUGGAAUCUUCCAUCCCUUCCCCAGUGGUUCAGACCAACACGUUUUUCUGACAAAUACCAAAAUUAUAUUCGUUAAAAUAUAUAAAGCACGUUAAAUAAUUAAAAAAUUGAAGUUUCCAACCUUAUAGACGGUUUUUAAUCAGGAAACGUUUCAGUUAUGUGCCGCUUUUAGGCCUACGCCCUUAGUUGAACAACAUUUUCCGUACGUAUAGACGUUAUCGUUUCAAAUAAAGGAAAUAUCAUAAAUAUUUAUUUAAAAACUAUUUUAUAUUCUUCUUUUUUGGAAAUAGUUUGUAUACCUAAUAAUGGAAUAAAGCCAUUUUCUAAUUGAAAAGGUGUGUUCUGAAGACACUUUGUCGACAGACCGAUUUUCAAACUUUGUCCAUCGAAAAGUUAUUCCUCGACAAAAUCUUCUGUAGGUAUCUAUGCGCCCGUGUCAAAAAGUUUUCCUAUAAACACAGCAGUUUCAAUUUCAAAUUUUCAAAUGUGUAAUUUUCGGCGGACUCCACAUAACGAUGUUGUAUUUGUGAGUCCAUAUAUCUUUAGUGAAGUUGCUUCAUUACAAUCUACCUACCUACUGUUUUUCUUUAUUCGCCAUUCAAAGCUACACAUAAUAUGUUAAUACGGAACAGCGUUGUAAGUCGUGUAGAACUUCCAGUUUUAGUGUUGGUGUCCUCAGAAAUUAC